GGGGGAUGUCACCUUUGGCGCAGAGGCGACUGAAGUAGGCGAGCAGCAGCGGACGUGGAGCAGCGCACAACAAGAGAUCCACGAUCACGUCGCGUCCACCUCCCAGCGCCGUCCGCAGCAGUUCGGCCAAAGCUCCCACCAGGCGUCGCUGUGCCUCUGAGUCCGCUGCAUGUAGGAGUAAAACUGGCCUUGUUCGACCGGAGCCUAGGGACCGGAGCAACAGCUGAGUAGGGUAAGGGGCGUCUUGGGAGAGGAGGGGGAGUAGCGAGGACAGCCAGCGUAGCCCUCCCCUUGGGGACUCUGGCCUACAUUCUAGGGUGUCCUGCAUGCACAAUGUGUCCUUUAUGAGGAUUUAUUGCAAUGAGUCAGUUCCCCAAACUGCUGAGGAAACUGUGAAGGUUUUAACGCACAGCAGGCUGCAGA
rnacentral:lncRNA from 1 species